rnacentral:lncRNA from 10 species
ACUCCAGCCUGGGCAACAAGAGUGAAACUCUGCCUCGGAGGGAAAAAAAAAAAAAAAGAAUUGAAAGAAUGAAAACCUGUCCUCAAUGUGCCUGAAUAAAUGCUUGUUCAGACACUGGAUGUGAAGUCCGAUUCUCCACUGGAUACCCAAACUGCAGGAGGUAGGUGGUUCCCAUCUGGACCCGAGUUGCCUACCAGACCAUUGUCAGAAACACAGCUGGACGUGAGUUAAAGUGGUGAAAAAACAGAUUUUAUUCAGUAACUACUGAAAGUAGGGAAGGAGCUGAGCUUAUUCCGAUUUCGGCAGAGGUGAUUUGGGUGUUUUAAAGAAAGAAUGAGGGAGACGGGAAUAAAGGAGCUCCGAAGUGUCGGGGAAGUGAAAAAGUGCAAAGGGGAGCUUCCGGAUAGCGAAGCACGUGGAGGUUCCUGGAGGGUGUCCUCCCAGAGAGGACGUGGAACCUUCCCGCUCCCACCGCGCACUUGCCCUGUGUAUCUCUUCCCUUUGGCUGUUCAUCUACAUACGUGGUAGUUUCCUUUAUAGUAAACUAAUAAACGGAAAUUUGCAGCAGCUGUGAAAAACUUCAAUUUUCUGAAUCCACUUUUGAUUUUUAGUGGCGAUUGCUUAAAUGCCUCAGUUUUAAGUAUCAUAACGAAAGGAAAGCAUACGAUUCCUAUAUUAAUGAAUCGGAAGUACCUUUUGCAGUUUUUGUUUUGCUUUUUCAGACAAGGUCUUAUUCUGUCAUCCAGGCUGGAGUGCAUUGGUGGGAACACAGCUCACUACCUACUCAGCCUCCUGAGCUCAAGCGAUCCUCCCACCUCAGCCUCUCAAGUGGCUAGGACCACAGGCACCCACGCACUACACCGCCUAACUAAUGUUUUGUUUUAUAUUAUAUUAUUUUAUUUUAUAGAGACAGAGGUCUCACCAUGUCGACCAGGCUAGUUUUGAACUCCUGGCCUCAAGCAAUCCUCCUCCCACCUCAGCCUCCCAAAGUGCUAAAAUGAUAGGUGUGAGCCACUGCACCCGGUGAUUUUGCAGUUUUUGGAAACCACAAGUUUGAUUUCGGUGUGAAUAUUUUGGAAGAAUCUAUGAAACAAAUGCACUUCAUCUGAUUUCUCAGUAAUGUUGAUGAUAGAUUUACUUCUGAACCUCUUGGACGUGUGUAUGUUAGAAGUUCUCCACCCAAUUGAUACGGAAUUAAAUAGCUGUGAAAUUACUGUAAGAAGAACCGAAGCAACGUUGGAAAUUUGGUAACUAAUGCCACGUUGGAAGCUAUUCAUGCCAAUGUAGCAUUGCUUCAUACAGGUACUUCCAGAUCUAAUUGAAUACAUCCAGUGGGAAAUUUC